rnacentral:rRNA from 1 species
AGUGAACGCUGGCGGUAGGCCUAACACAUGCAAGUCGAACGGCAGCACAGGAGAGCUUGCUCUCUAGGUGGCGAGUGGCGGACGGGUGAGGAAUACAUCGGAAUCUGCCCAGUCGUGGGGGAUAACGUAGGGAAACUUACGCUAAUACCGCAUACGACCUUCGGGUGAAAGAGGGGGAUCGCAAGACCUCUCGCGAUUGGAUGAGCCGAUGUCGGAUUAGCUAGUUAGCAGGGUAAUGGCCCACCAAGGCGACGAUCCGUAGCUGGUCUGAGAGGAUGAUCAGCCACACUGGAACUGAGACACGGUCCAGACUCCUACGGGAGGCAGCAGUGGGGAAUAUUGGACAAUGGGCGCAAGCCUGAUCCAGCCAUACCGCGUGGGUGAAGAAGGCCUUCGGGUUGUAAAGCCCUUUUGUUGGGAAAGAAAUCUUUCAGGCUAAUACCCUGGGAGGAUGACGGUACCCAAAGAAUAAGCACCGGCUAACUUCGUG